rnacentral:lncRNA from 1 species
GUUCUAUGCAAGGAUCCAAUCACUUUAUUUUGUGUCAUUUCAUCCUUAUAACACCAGCUGUAUAAGGAUGGACAAUGGAAGAGAGAACAGAGCAGAAUGAGAAGGAGCUGCUGGAGAACUACACAGAAAACAAGAGCACGUGGUUAAUGGGAAGCCAUGAAAAAAUGCCUCACACUAAGAACAGUCAACAUAUAAAAUCCUACAAGAGGGCAGCGGCUCAACAUCCCUUGGAAGGUGCCCUUCCCAGUGUGAUCCAGAGCAGAGAGACCCAACGGGGUGGCCCCCUGCCUUUUCUGGAGACCAUGUUUCUAUUGAUACAGCAAAUCUGAACAAAUGAUUCACCCCAAGAAAGCUAGCACUUCAUGACUCAGGACCCACUGAAGAAUGAACUGUAAAGUCCCAAUAAAAUCAGAGGG